CCCCAUGAAGUCCCCCUGAGGCAGAUGGGCCCAGAUCCUGGCUUCCUGCAGGGCCCUGGACACCACACAUCGCUGCCAGCGCCAUCACGUCAAGUGGCCACAAGGCUGCCAUUGCACCCAUGAGGAAUCCGAGGCCUGGGGAGGGGCACCACCUGCCCAUGGACAGUGGGGUGGAGCUGGACCUCAGCCCAGGUCUCUGGGUCAAAGCCUGGCUCUGCCCCCGGGCCCCCUGCACUGGCCUGUGCAGGAUGGCGACUCUCUCUCGGAUUCCAGCCCGAUUCCCACAAUGCGGAUCAGCAGCUGCAAGCCUGUCCACCCCCCUGAGCUGGGGGAGAACUUUAUCUGAAAGCAAGGCUCUACUCAUUCCCUAGCUCCUUCCUGGGCAAAGGAGAAAAGCUGAUGCUUUUGCCCCGCAUCAUGUGCUGAAAGGCCCGACUUCUUUGGCUCCCAGCUCCCAGCUCCCUGGGUCUGGCGUGCAUGUCAGGGCACACCAAACAGAAGCCCUCCCCGUGGCUGGCUGCACCCACACACGCGCCUCCUGCAAAAAGAACCAGCAUUGGCGCACACAACUAGAGAGGCUGACACGUCCCAGGACCUGCAGGUGGCCAGCUAGAGACCCAGGAAAGCUGGUGGUUGGUUCCAAACCAAAUGCCAGGAAGCUUCAGAUCCAGGAGGAAGCAAUGCUUCAGUCUGAGUCUGGAGGCAGGAAAAACUGAUGUCCAGCUCAAGGGCAGCCAGACAGGUGCAUUCCUGCUUACUCAGCCUUUCUGCUCUAUCCAGACCUUCAACUGAUUGCACGAGGCUCACCCACACUGGGGAGGGCAAUCUGCUCUGCUCAGUCUACUGAUUCAAAUGUCAGUCCUCCAGAAAACCCCUCACAGACACACCC